rnacentral:rRNA from 1 species
AACGAACGCUGGUGGCGUGCCUCAUACAUGCAAGUCGAGCGAGGCUUCGAGUCGAGCGGCGUACGGGUGAGUAUCGCGUGAGUAACCUACCCUAUAGUUGGGAAUAACCCCCCUAACGGGGGACUAAUACCGAAUAUUGAGUGGCACUGCAUAGUGCUUAGUCGAAAGGGCGCAAGCCCGCUAAAGGAUGGACUCGCGUCUGAUUAGCUAGUUGGAGGGGUAACGCCACCAAGGCGAUGAUCAGUAGCCGACCUGAGAGGGUGAUCGGCCACAAUGGGACUGAGACACGGCCCAUACUCCUACGGGAGGCAGCAGUAGGGAAUCUUGCGCAAUGGACGGAAGUCUGACGCAGCAACGCCACGUGUGGGACGACGCCUUUCGGGGUGUAAACCACUGUUAGCAGGGACUAGCCUACGACGUAGGUCGUACCGAAUGUACCUGCAGAGAAAGCACCGGCAAACUUCGUGCCAGCAGCCGCGGUAAAAAUAGCGUACU